rnacentral:rRNA from 1 species
ACUCCUACGGGAGGCAGCAGUGGGGAAUAUUGGACAAUGGGCGCAAGCCUGAUCCAGCCAUGCCGCGUGUGUGAAGAAGGCCUUUUGGUUGUAAAGCACUUUAAGCGAGGAGGAGGCUACUUGGAUUAAUACUCUAGGAUAGUGGACGUUACUCGCAGAAUAAGCACCGGCUAACUCUGUGCCAGCAGCCGCGGUAAUACAGAGGGUGCGAGCGUUAAUCGGAUUUACUGGGCGUAAAGCGUGCGUAGGCGGCUUCUUAAGUCGGAUGUGAAAUCCCUGAGCUUAACUUAGGAAUUGCAUUCGAUACUGGGAAGCUAGAGUAUGGGAGAGGAUGGUAGAAUUCCAGGUGUAGCGGUGAAAUGCGUAGAGAUCUGGAGGAAUACCGAUGGCGAAGGCAGCCAUCUGGCCUAAUACUGACGCUGAGGUACGAAAGCAUGGGGAGCAAACAGGAUUAGAUACCCUGGUAGUCCAUGCCGUAAACGAUGUCUACUAGCCGUUGGGGCCUUUGAGGCUUUAGUGGCGCAGCUAACGCGAUAAGUAGACCGCCUGGGGAGUACGGUCGCAAGACUAAAACUCAAAGGAAUUGACGG